GUGAGUGGGUGGUACCGUUGGAACCAGUGUGAAGGGAGGAACGUCGCCCACUAAGUCAUUUCAGUCAACUCACUGUUUUUCUCUGGCGAAAUUUUGGGUAUCUCCGCCCCUUCGGAGGCAUUUUCCGGCGACAUCGGAGGUCAGUUGAGCAAAGGGGCUGUACUUCCGUGAUGUACUACUCGAGAGGAUCGUUUUGAUAUAUGUUAUGCAUAUAUUCGUCGACGUUCCCGGUACCGCUAUCAACUGCUAGUGUGCACUGCUUGGGAAAAUCGUGAUAUAUAGAUCCAAUUUAAUUCGCUCUAGGAUAAUCGUUAAGCUUGGGAGUGUCCCUUGGGGCUCGGACUGAACAUUCUUAAGAGGAUCCUAGUGACGCAAAACGUGGAUAAGGUGAAUUAUCGCUGAAGCUAAUGUGUUUAGCUCCCUAGUCCUAUCUUUUGAGCAUUUUGUAUUUAAUUUGGAACCUAUCGGUCUGUAUAUCUAAGUUAGCUAUGUAAUAGUUAGACAUGAGGAAUGGUGGAUGCUAAGUAUUAUUAUGGUGUUUUAUGACUUAUUAAAUUUAACUAUUUGGUGAC